rnacentral:SRP_RNA from 1 species
AGCUGGCUGUGGUGGUGCACGUGCCAGUAGUCCUGUCUGUUCAAGAGGUUAAGACAGGGGUAUUAUUUGAGCCUAGGAAUUCUGGGCUGUAGUACACUAUGCAGAUUGGGUGUCCACAUUAAGUAUCAGUGUGGUAAACUCCCAGGAUCUGGGAACCACCAAGUUGCCUAAGGAGUCAUGAACCAGCCCACGCUGGAAAUGGAGUAGGUCAAAACUCCCAUGCUGAUCCGUAGUGGGAUCAUACUUGUGAAUAGUCUCUGCACUCUAGCAUGGACAACAUAGUGAGACCUCAUCACU